rnacentral:rRNA from 1 species
UCGAGGAUCUUCGGCAAUGGGCGCAAGCCUGACCGAGCGACGCCGCGUGUGCGAUGAAGGCCUUCGGGUUGUAAAGCACUGUCGAGGGGGAGAAAGGCCGCAAGGCUUGAUCGACCCCUGGAGGAAGCACGGGCUAAGUUCGUGCCAGCAGCCGCGGUAAGACGAACCGUGCGAACGUUGUUCGGAUUCACUGGGCUUAAAGGGCGCGUAGGCGGGCUCUCAAGUCGGGGGUGAAAUCCCACCGCUUAACGGUGGAAGUGCCUCCGAUACUGGGAGUCUGGAGGGAGGUAGGGGUGUGUGGAACUUCCGGUGGAGCGGUGAAAUGCGUAGAUAUCGGAAGGAACGCCGGUGGCGAAAGCGACGCACUGGACCUCUUCUGACGCUGAGGCGCGAAAGCCAGGGGAGCAAACG